GAUCAUGGCUCAGGAUGAACGCUAGCGACAGGCUUAACACAUGCAAGUCGAGGGGCAUCAGGAAGUAGCAAUACUUUGCUGGCGACCGGCGCACGGGUGAGUAACGCGUAUGCAACCUACCUAUCAGAGGGGGAUAACCCGGCGAAAGUCGGACUAAUACCGCAUAAAACAGGGGUCCCGCAUGGGAAUAUUUGUUAAAGAUUAAUUGCUGAUAGAUGGGCAUGCGUUCCAUUAGAUAG
rnacentral:rRNA from 1 species